rnacentral:rRNA from 1 species
CAGUCGCCACGGUAAUACGUAGGGUGCAAGCGUUAAUCGGAAUUACUGGGCGUAAAGCGUGCGCAGGCGGUUCGCUAAGACAGAUGUGAAAUCCCCGGGCUUAACCUGGGAACUGCAUUUGUGACUGGCGGGCUAGAGUAUGGCAGAGGGGGGUAGAAUUCCACGUGUAGCAGUGAAGUGCGUAGAGAUGUGGAGGAAUACCGAUGGCGAAGGCAGCCCCCUGGGCCAAUACUGACGCUCAUGCACGAAAGCGUGGGGAGCAAACAGGAUUAGAUACCCCCGUAGUCCCUGUCUCUUAUAC